GUGAAUGUGUCCGGACUAGGGGUGGAACGGUACACAGAAGUCACGGUUCGGUUCGUACCUCCGUUCAGAUACAUGGUUCAGUACAAUGGGGAGAAAAGCAAAAAAAAUGCAGAAGGCAAUUUUUUUUUUUGUAAUUGUCCAUGACUCAAGCUGUACCCCCUAAUGUCAUACAGUCUCUCCCCUGAGCUAGCUGCAACAGCCUGAAGUGUGUACUGUAUGUAAUCAAUAAGUACCCCACAUCAUCUCCAGACUCCAUCUGGAACUUGUAAUCAAAGUAAGACAAUUAGCUAUAAAACUGAAAAAGCAGCACCUCUUAUUUAUGAAAGUGCAAGUUAC